rnacentral:rRNA from 1 species
GAUGAACGCUGGCGGCGUGCCUAAUACAUGCAAGUCGAGCGAACAGACGAGGAGCUUGCUCCUCUGACGUUAGCGGCGGACGGGUGAGUAACACGUGGAUAACCUACCUAUAAGACUGGGAUAACUUCGGGAAACCGGAGCUAAUACCGGAUAAUAUAUUGAACCGCAUGGUUCAAUAGUGAAAGACGGUUUUGCUGUCACUUAUAGAUGGAUCCGCGCCGCGUUAGCUAGUUGGUAAGGUAACGGCUUACCAAGGCAACGAUGCGUAGCCGACCUGAGAGGGUGAUCGGCCACACUGGAACUGAGACACGGUCCAGACUCCUACGGGAGGCAGCAGUAGGGAAUCUUCCGCAAUGGGCGAAAGCCUGACGGAGCAACGCCGCGUGAGUGAUGAAGGUCUUCGGAUCGUAAAACUCUGUUAUUAGGGAAGAACAAAUGUGUAAGUAACUAUGCACGUCUUGACGGUACCUAAUCAGAAAGCCACGGCUAACUACGCG